rnacentral:rRNA from 1 species
GACGUAGGGCGCGAGCGUUGUCCGGAUUUAUUGGGCGUAAAGAGCUCGUAGGCGGCUUGUCGCGUCGUCCGUGAAAACCUGGGGCUCAACCCCAGGCUUGCGGUCGAUACGGGCAGGCUCGAGUUCGGUAGGGGAGACUGGAAUUCCUGGUGUAGCGGUGAAAUGCGCAGAUAUCGGGAAGAACACCCGUGGCGAAGGCGGCUACUCUGGGACGGUACUGACGCUGAGACGCGAAAGCGUGGGGAGCGAACAGG